AAGUCGUAACAAGGUUUCCGUAGGUGAACCUGCGGAAGGAUCAUUAUUGAAUAAACCUGGCGUGGUUGUAGCUGGUCCUCUCGGGGACAUGUGCUCGCCCGUCAUCUUUAUAUCUCCACCUGUGCACCCUUUGUAGACCUGGACGAUAACUUUCCGAGGCCACUCGGUCGGGAGGACUGCUGGCUUUCACGAGUCGGCUUUCCUUGUAUUAUCCAGGCCUAUGUCUUACACAUACCCCAAAGAAUGUAACAGAAUGUAUUGUAUAUGGCCUAGUGCCUAUAAACUAUAUACAACUUUCAGCAACGGAUCUCUUGGCUCUC
rnacentral:misc_RNA from 1 species